GGCUCAGGAUGAACGCUAGCUACAGGCUUAACACAUGCAAGUCGAGGGUAGCAGGGUAGCAAUACCGCUGACGACCGGCGCACGGGUGAGUAACACGUAUCCAACCUUCCCAUAACUCAGGGAUAGCCUUUCGAAGGAAAGAUUAAUACCUGAUAGUACUUUUUCAAGGCAUCUUGAGAAAGUUAAAGAUUUAUUGGUUAUGGAUGGGGAUGCGUUCCAUUAGAUAGUUGGUGAGGUAACGGCUCACCAAGUCUUCGAUGGAUAGGGGUUCUGAGAGGAAGGUCCCCCACAUUGGUACUGAGACACGGACCAAACUCCUACGGGAGGCAGCAGUGAGGAAUAUUGGUCAAUGGGCGAGAGCCUGAACCAGCCAAGUAGCGUGAAGGAUGAAGGUCCUCUGGAUUGUAAACUUCUUUUGUAUGGGAGCAAUAAGGCCUACGAGUAGGUUGAUGAGAGUACCAUACGAAUAAGCACCGGCUAACUCCGUGCCAGCCGCUGC
rnacentral:rRNA from 1 species